UACGUUCGGAUUGUAGGCUGAAACUCGCCUACAUGAAGCUGGAAUUGCUAGUAAUCACAGGUCAGCAUACUGUGGUGAAUACGUUCCCGGGCCUUGUACACACCGCCCGUCACACCAUGAGAGUUGAGAAUACCCGAAGCCCAUGUCAAAGUGGUCGAAGGUAGGCUUGAUGAUUGGGGUGAAGUCGUAACAAGGUACC
rnacentral:rRNA from 1 species